GAGUUUGAUCAUGGCUCAGAGUGAACGCUGGCGGCAGGCCUAACACAUGCAAGUCGAACGGCAGCGCAGCAGUAGCAAUACUGUGGGCGGCGAGUGGCGGACGGGUGAGGAAUACAUCGGAAUCUACCUUGUCGUGGGGGAUAACGUAGGGAAACUUACGCUAAUACCGCAUACGAACUACGGUUGAAAGCGGCGGACCGCAAGGCGUCGCGCGAUUGGAUGAGCCGAUGUCCGAUUAGCUAGUUGGCGGGGUAAAGGCCCACCAAGGCGACGAUCGGUAGCUGGUCUGAGAGGAUGAUCAGCCACACUGGAACUGAGACACGGUCCAGACUCCUACGGGAGGCAGCAGUGGGGAAUAUUGGACAAUGGGCGCAAGCCUGAUCCAGCCAUGCCGCGUGUGUGAAGAAGGCCUU
rnacentral:rRNA from 1 species